UUGCCAGUAAUCUAACAUCUGCUUAACUUUUUAAGUGUUCUGCAGAAACUAAAAAUUAUGCUGGCAAUACUAAAGCCAGGGUACGAGCCUUGAAGACUUUUUAGUCAUUAAGGUCCCAGUAAAUGGCUACAUUA